rnacentral:lncRNA from 1 species
UUUGGUAGAAGAUAAAUGAAGGUAGAUUUAAUAAAAUUUUAUAAAAAAACUUAUAGAUACAAAUUUGACUUUAUACAUGUUUAUUAUUGAUUAAUAGGUUGGAAACAAGGCCAAUAAGUUGGCCAUGUAUUAUGUGUAGGAAACUUAUCUUGUAAGUUAAACUUAUGUCUUUCAACUCAAACACGUGUUAGAAGUCCUAUAAAAUAUUGUCAUAUAGCUCCUAAUUAGAUAGUAUAUAUGGAAGUAAGAAUAAAGCCUUCUUCAUUCUUGUCAAAGCCUUUCUUAUUUUUAGUCUUAUUUCAGGAAUCUUUAGUAUUCUUUUCUUUGAUAAUAACCAUUCUAGUUUUAAUAUUAUAUCAUCUUUAAAUGAUUAUAUACUCUUUUUGAAUGAUAUAUAAGUGUAUUGAGGAUUUUAUUCCUUGUGAUUCAUAUCCUUAAUAAAUAAUUGUAAAAAAUUACCUUUUAGUUACAUUCAAUUAGAAGAUUUUUAUAAAGUUAAAAUCAAUAAUUUUUUUAGUUUCUUUU